UACUCCUAUGUCACCACCCAGUUUGGUCGCCCCAUCCACGCUAUCCAAACCGACAACGGGAAGGAGUUCGACAACCUCGCGGUUCGCACCCUCCUCACCACACAUGGCACGAUAUUUCGUCUCACUUGUCCCUAUACCUCGCAACAAAAUGGGCGCGCAGAACGGGUCUUACGCACUCUUAACGAUUGUGUCCGCACCUUGUUAUUUCAUGCUAAUGUGCCACCCCGCUUCUGGCCCGAUGCACUUGCCACCGCAUCACGCCUCAUCAACAUUCGGCCUUGUCGCGUCCGUGGCAACUUUGCACCACACCACUUGCUUUUCGGGAGCCCCCCAUCCUAUGACGAUCUUCGCAUCUUCGGGUGCCUCUGCUAUCCCAGCAUCGCCUCUACCACCCCUCAUAAGCUCGCCCCUCGCUCUCUUGCGUGCAUCUUCUUGGGUUACCCUGCCAACACCAAGGGCUACCGCUGCUACGACCCUGUUUCUCACCGUGUCUUCACCUCUAGACACGUUUACUUUGACGAAAGGGUUUUU
rnacentral:rRNA from 1 species